UGAUAGGUUUGGUAUUAAGUUUUAAAAAUUUAUCGAAAGCCUGGUUGACCAAAAAAGCAAACAAAGAAACUUUCUUUAAGCAGGGUUGCCAGGGCAAAGAUUUGCUGGUAGAGGAGUCUUAUAUGACCAGGCCCUGACUGGAAGCUACCUGAAAAGGUCAUAACCUUGACAAACUCAGAUCCUGCAGGUGCUAACCCCGGGAGCUCCAGCAGUACUCUUUGAAGAUGAUAGGCAAAGCCAUUCUGAGAAGAUGAGGACUCUGCCAUCUACUGUUCUCCUUGUGUCCUUUCCAAGGGCAUUCAAAGAGAGUUGGGACUCUGGAAGUAGAGAAAGAAGACAAGAAGGCACUUUGGUGCAGAUUUGUAUUUCCUACUUUUGCUAUGAGAAAAGCUUGGAUAUGUGUGAGUAGGACAGAGGAACCUAGCUUGGUGAGCCUAAAGCUUGUGUGAUUUGGGUACCCCUAUUUUAAGCAUUAUAAAUAAACUUAGGAGCACAA